GGGAGGGUAGCUCAGAGGAUAGAGCACUGGUGCGCACCGCUUGACCGAGCAGUCAGAGUCGCAGGUUCGAAUCCUGCCCCUUCCACCA
rnacentral:tRNA from 1 species